rnacentral:misc_RNA from 2 species
AAGUCGUAACAAGGUUUCCGUAGGUGAACCUGCGGAAGGAUCAUUAUCGUAGGGCUUCGGCCCUGUCGAGAUAGAACCCUUGCCUUUUUGAGUACCUUUCGUUUCCUCGGCAGCCUCGGCUGCCAAUGGGGACCCCAAAAAACACUUUGCAGUACCUGUAACAGUCUGAACAAACAAACAAAAAUUAAAACUUUCAACAACGGAUCUCUUGGUUCUG